rnacentral:lncRNA from 1 species
UCGUUCAGUACCUAUACACAUUAAAAAAGAAGGUUUGAAUUGAGAGACUACACACCUCAGCUCGAUGCAUUCAUAUUCAUAGAAAGGUUGGUAAAGUUUUUACCAUGCGAUCCAUUAAUGUAUCACUCAAAUCUGCACCUGUCAUAACAUAUAAUCAAAAUGAUUAUGCUCGUGAAUGGAAAUUUUAUGUAUGCAUUACGAAUUCAAUUUGAAUUAUAACAAAAUGUCAGAUUUGCUAGAACUGGAUUCAAUUCAAAAUGGCGCCAUAAUUCUUCCCUUGCUUUUAUUGCAUUUACAAUUGUUUUUUUUUUUUCUCUUUAGAACAAAAUUUAUGUAUUUUGCAUUUUUGUUAUAUUUUUAAAGAAUAUUUUAAUUUCACUUUUAGAGAGUGUUGUUAUAUCUAAAAUUUUAAGAAAAAAUGAAAUAAAAAGCCACAUUGUUUUUCUUCACCCAAUUUGUCUCAGUUCUGUUUCUUGUUUUUCUUUCUUAAUUCUUUUUAUCAAACUGGGCUAGAGAAGUUACUCUUUAUUCUAUUUUUCUGGCCAGGACCGGAAGCCGGAUAACAACUGGAUGUUCAAUCCGGACAGAAUUAGGAACAGUCUGGUUUUCGGUCCGAAUUCUGGGUCAAAAUUUUCAGUCGAGUCUGGUCUGAACCAAAAAAAAAAAAAAAAACACUCACUCACGUGACUAACAGUUCGUGUACACCUGACCCCCAACACACACACACCCUAAGCAGCACCCUCUCACACACUGUCUCUCACUCACCAACAAAAGUUAUCAUCGUCCUCUGUCUUCUCUUCAUGCAGCCACCAGGCCCCCACCCCACCAGUCCACCACACGUCCACAGCAGCCCUGGUCGCCUGGUCCACUCGUGCUCGCGGUUAGCACUCCACGCGGCACGCCUCGCCUCGGCACGUCACCUGACCACCACGACCACGCAAGUCGCACCACGCGUCCAGACCAUGCUCUCCACGCACCACGUGGCCACGCCUGGCCCUACACGCCACGACGCACCAACAUAACGUGUUACACGCCUAGGCUCCAGACUCUCCCUCCCCACGCACCACGUGGCCACGCUUGCGCCCGCACGCCACCACGCACCAGCAGCCGCAGGUCUUCAUCUUCUGUUCUUAAAACUUUUUUUUUUAAUUUUAAAAUUGGGAAAAAUUCGGUCCCGCAUUCGGUCAGGACCGGUCGGGUUCGGUAGCAGGGCUAGUCUUGGGUGCAUAGUGAGUUUUACAAAUUGGAAUUUGCUUAUUGAAGCUUGGGAGAUUUAAAAAGCAAUAAGGCACUCUUAUGACAUUGUUUCUGGAUUUUGCUGUUGUUUGUUGACGAACUUUCUAGAAUAAUUGAAAUAUAUCCCAAGAAAUAGAAUGCUUAUUUAUAGAGAGCAAUAGGAAUUUUCUUUGCGUUUAUGUCAAAGUAGUUUCACAUGAAUCAUGCUAUCUUCAAAACCCCAUAAGCAAAGUCAUGCUUUCUUGCGAACAAAAAAGUGACUUUUGGAUUGGAAGAAGAAACCGUAGGAUAAAUGACAAUUUGAUAGGUCUUUUCCACGCUUUCAGUUUCAGUUAAUAAGGAGUGCAGGUGUCAAAUCCUGGAGGCCGUAGACAUUCUGGUUAGCAGCUUGGUAAAGGUAGACUGUUAGAGAAUUAAUGUAGAAAAUUUAUUAUCUUUGUUGUUAGCAGUAAGUUAGUAGAGUAAUUUUCCCUGGUUGGAAUUAGUUGGUUGUUAGAGAGUAAGUUAGUGAAGUAAUUUUCUCUUGUUGGUAGUUAUAAAUUUGUGUAUUUAAGGCUGGUUUAUGGUUGAGUACAGAUAGAUUUUGCAAUUUAUUUUUCCCGCAUAUAAAGUCUUUGAUAGAAGUUCUCAGAGAUUUUAUUUUUUAGCAAUCUCACUUUUUGUUCUCAGUUAUUUUGUUCUAACAGCCCCUAUCAUUGACAUUUGGUAUCAAUGUCUACUUGACACUUUCAGAUGGCCAACAAUCACGUUGGAGUAAAUCUCGCACAAUCAUUAAUUCCGAAUUUUCAAGAUAACAACUAUGAUAAAUAGAGUACUAAGAUGAAGACUGUUUAUUCUCGAGAUUUAUGGGAUUUAGUAGAGAAUAGUUAUAAUGAAGAUGGAGAAGCAACUGAUAAUGUCAAUGAUCUUCGAAAAAAAGAUGCUAAGGCCUUGUUUCUGUUGAAAAUACUUUUUACAGCAAGAUGUAGCUAUCACAAAGCGGGAGAACAAGGCCUUAGCAUCUUUCUUUCAAAGAUCUCUUACAUUAUCGGCUGCCUCUCCAUCUUCGUUACAAUCAUUCCUUAUCUCAAAUCCCAUAAAUCUUGAGAAAUAAACAAGAGUUUUCAUCUUGGUACUCCAUAUAUCAUAGUUGUUGCCUUGAACAAUUGGAAUUGAUGGUUGUACAAAAUUUACUACAGCAUGAUUAUUGGUCAUCUGGAACUGUCAAGCAAACUCUAAUACCAGAUGUUAAUAACAAGGACUAGUAGAACAAAAUAACUUACAACAAAAAAUGAGAUUGCUGGAAAAUAAAAUUUAUGAGCACUUUUAUCAAAUACUUUGUAUGCAGAAAAAAUGUGAAACAAAAGUAUUCAACCAUAAACCAGCCUUAAAUACACAAAUUUGUAAUUACCAACAAGAGAAAAUUGUUCCACUAACAACCAACUAAUUCCAAGAAGAGAAAAUUACUCCACUACCAACUAAUUAAAUAGUUCAAAGAUAAUUAAUUUUCUAACAUAGACAACUGCUAGCAACUUGAGAGUUGAUCCAAAGAGCAUUUGCAAAGGUUUCAGAUAUAAGUUGCAAAUUUUACAGAAGGGUGUUCUCAUUUUGAUGCAUGUGAAUUAGGAAUAACAGGGACACUUUUGUUAAUAGUUAAAAGAGGCUUAAAUCUGUAAAUGAAUUAUAAAUACGUUUUUGAAACAAGUAUAGCAGUCUAUAAAUGAAUUAUAAAUAGGUCUCUUGUAUUGAUCAAGGGCAUAAAAAGAUUUAUCACAUUUGGACUUUUUCUCUCAGUUCUCUAUCUUCUUGUUUCCUCUCUCUGGUUUUUCCUGUGUCUUCUAUCUUUCUUCAUCUCCGUAAUUCUACAUAAGCAUAGUACUCAACUUUGUACUGUAAUAACCUGAAGUGGAUGUGCAUAUAACAGAGGGUAAGGGAUUUUCAUGUUUGUUGAUAUUAAUGGAAAUAUCUUUUUUAAUACCCAGUUUCUAUGUAAAAGUAACAGGCUCUAGGGCCAAAUACAUGAUUUUUACUUGCAACUACAAAUAAUGUUAAAACAGUUUUACUUUUCUCAAAAGGAGAUGAAAAAAAAAACUAGUUCUUGUUUGGUUCACUUCCUGUUUCAUUCUCCUUGUUCAUACCUCUAAUCUCCAUAUUAAUCUUCUUUUUAAAAAAUAAUAAUCCCCAUAUUAGUCUUGACAGAAAAUUAUGUAUGAUUUUUAUCUCAAAUUUUACUCCAUCUCUGCCUUAAAGUUUCUCUUACAAAUAAAAGUGGGAAUUGAAUUCCUACAAUGGUUUAUUUUAAGACCAAUUUGAAAUUAAGAGAUGAAACUUAAAUGAGAAACGAAUCAAAUAGGCCCUAAGAGUUUUCUUAGUUGGGUAUCUGUGGUUUGUGUGAAAGAUCGGAUAGUUGUCAAAGUAAACACUCAUGCAAGUAUCUUUGGUUUAAUGGCUUAAGCCUUGUGGUUUUUCUUUCCCCUUGUCAACCUAUUUGUUACUACAUUUCUCAUUUUAUGGAGGCCAAAUCAGAGAAUAGAAUGGUGGUAGGUGACAGUAAGUGUCAAUGAUGAUUAUUUGUGCUUCUUCAAGUAUGAGUUUCAGUAACAGCAAGGCUAAAAAGAGAUGAAUGUGUGUUUCCUAUUUGUGCUUAAGGAAAGAAAUGUAUCUCUACUUAGCAAUUUUCCUGUAGCCGGCAGUACAAGCCAUGUAUCAACUCUUAGUAGAAUUCGUUUUCCAAAUCCAGGAUUUUCAGCUUAACAGUUGGAGAAUUCGACUUAUUUAGAGAUCAUGUUCUCAGGAUAUGGUUUAGAUCCUAAGGACUCAAUGAUUUCUGCUGGUGAGGAAGGACUUAAAUUGGUAGCAUCCAUGGACCAUGAAAGAAUUAGAUAACCAGAUGCCUCUGCAGGGCAAGCUUCUAACUUCCCCAAGAAGAUUUAGUUGUGGUCUUGCCUGAGUUUUCUCUCGCUGAAGAAGAAAAUCAGCUAUUCAAAGUUUCCCUAAAGCGUGUAAUAGAAAUUUUCAAUUAUCUAGUGGCACUGAUCCUUCUAAAUCCAUAUUAAAGGAAACUAGGGAAUCGGAGAAC